rnacentral:rRNA from 1 species
UACGUAGGUGGCUAGCGUUGUCCGGAUUUACUGGGCGUAAAGAGCGCGCAGGCGGUCGUUCAAGUCGAGUGUGAAAGCCCCCGGCUCAACUGGGGAGGGUCACUCGAUACUGAUCGACUCGAAGGCAGGAGAGGGAAGCGGAAUUCCCGGUGUAGUGGUGAAAUGCGUAGAUAUCGGGAGGAACACCAGUGGCGAAGGCGGCUUUCUGGCCUGUUCUUGACGCUGAGGCGCGAAAGCGUGGGGAGCGAACAGG